UGGGCGAAGCCUGAUGCAGCAACGCCGCGUGAGCGAUGAAGGCCUUCGGGUCGUAAAGCUCUGUCCUCAAGGAAGAUAAUGACGGUACUUGAGGAGGAAGCCCCGGCUAACUACGUGCCAGCAGCCGCGGUAAUA
rnacentral:rRNA from 1 species